rnacentral:tRNA from 1 species
AAAAAGAUAAGCUAAAUUUUAAGCUAUUAGGUUCAUACCCUAAAUAUAGGUUUUUAAUCCUUCUUUUUU